AGUGAACGCUGGCGGUAGGCCUAACACAUGCAAGUCGAACGGCAGCACAGUAAGAGCUUGCCCUUACGGGUGGCGAGUGGCGGACGGGUGAGGAAUACAUCGGAAUCUACUUUUUCGUGGGGGAUAACGUAGGGAAACUUACGCUAAUACCGCAUACGACCUACGGGUGAAAGCAGGGGAUCUUCGGACCUUGCGCGAUUGAAUGAGCCGAUGUCGGAUUAGCUAGUUGGCGGGGUAAAGGCCCGCCAAGGCGACGAUCCGUAGCUGGUCUGAGAGGAUGAUCAGCCACACUGGAACUGAGACACGGUCCAGACUCCUACGGGAGGCAGCAGUGGGGAAUAUUGGACAAUGGGCGCAAGCCUGAUCCAGCCAUACCGCGUGGGUGAAGAAGGCCUUCGGGUUGUAAAGCCCUUUUGUUGGGAAAGAAAAGCAGCAGGUUAAUACCCCGCUGUUCUGACGGUACCCAAAGAAUAAGCACCGGCUAACUUCGUG
rnacentral:rRNA from 1 species